rnacentral:lncRNA from 1 species
ACUUCAGGUGAUCCGCCCACCUCAGCCUCCCAAAAUGCUAGGAUUACAGGCAUGAGCCACCGCACCCGGCCUGAGAUAUUCUUAAAGUCCUAAGAUAUGAUCAGUUCUUUACGUCUUCCAAAUGUUUAUAUUAAAUAUAUAUAUGAAUAUGUUUUAAAAUACCUGUUAAUUACAUUAUUCAAUUCUUGUAAUAAUAAACACUUGCAUAGUAUUCACUCUGGGCCAGGUGCCGUUUCAGAAAUUUUAGAUAAAUUAACUCUUAAGUGAGAGCCCUCUGAGGCUGGAGCUGUUACUACUACCGCAAUAAACUUAAUCAGUAAAGUUAAGGCAGUGAGAAGCUAAAUGGCACUGCUAGUAAGUGGCAAGGCAAGGGUUUACACUCAGGCAGUGUUAUUUAUAUUCUAAAGGCCAUGUGGCUUAUGUAGACUUUAUUUCAAGCCACUUACGUUAUUUUGAAAGAGUUAUAGCAUGCCAUAUUAACAAACAAAAAGUUUUAUUUGCUGACAACCCUAGCUAACUCUCAAUGCUUAACAUAUUUAUGAUAUUUCUCUCCUCUGCUACUUCUAGUUACUCCAUUUUUGCUUACUUUGUAGAAGUUGUUUGACAAUAUUGCUGACAUUUAAGUAUUCUUGUAUAUUUCUUUAUAUUGGUGAUUUCCUUAUUUCGUUUUUUCUCCUUUGCUGCCUUUUUAUUCUAAAGGUUUAAGAGUCAAAAAAUGACUAGAUUGCCUUAAUUACAAUGGUUUGAAUGAGUUAGUUUGGUUUUCUUUUUAAAUCUGUGUUCUCUUUAUAUCCUAGCCUAGUUUCUGGGAGGUGCAAGGCACUGAGUGACUCAUUGGGACCUGCUGAGUCAUUAGAGAGAGUGCCUGAGGGACAGAGGCCAGACUGCAACUUAAGCUAUCUGGAAUCUUACCUCUGCUGUCUUACUGGCUGUCUACAUGGGGCUACAUUUUAACUAUGGCUUACAGAAAUCAUUGCCUGUCAACAGCCUCCACCCCCACCUCCCCACCCCCACUCUUGGGAAUGGACUCUGACAAACUCACCAUCAGGAAAGUUGAUGUUUCCCAUCUAGGAUGGAAGAAUGGGAUUCUGAACUUUGUCACUGUUUCUGAAACGUCAUCAGCUCCUGUAAUUGCAUGGUUGGGACAGAUCUAUUUAAAUUGCUUUGAAGUUUUCCCAGGAAAUUCCCACAAAAUUGUGCAACCCAAGGAAUUGAGGUGGAAAAAAUGGCACUGGCAUCAAUUUGCUUCUCACCACGACCUUGUGAAGGAGGCAGGUAGCCACUCAUAUUUAUGAUUUAAAAAAUGAGGGAUCAACAAUUAAAGGGGUAACAGUUCUAGGUGCUUGGACUAUUAGUUUUAUCAAAAACACAGUCGGUAUAGGUUCAUUGACAGCUGGCAUUCAUCAUCUGAAAUUAGAUCCCCCUUUGAAAUUAUUCUUUCUCUCAUUUUCCUUGCUUUUACAUAGAAGUUUUUUCUUUUUUUUUUCUGUAAAUAGUUAGAUAAUGGCAUGGGAUGACACUGCAAAUAGGCAAUAUACCAUACAAUCAAUUCCAUGUAUUAAUUCCAGAACAGUUUCCUCAUUAAUGGAAAUACAGGAUGCAUUCUGGUAUCAUUAUUGUUGACAUUUCUCUUUGCUUUUAUUAUAUUCAAUAAAAUAUUGUAUUCAACAGCUUA